rnacentral:lncRNA from 1 species
ACACAUAAUACUUCAAAUAACAAUAGCCAGAUUCAAUACAAGCUCUACAAAUAACACAUAAUACAAGAUGUAACAAUAUUUUACAAGCUCUACAAGUGUAAUAAGAGUUACAAGCUCUAUAAGUGUUUUCUUCUUCAGCAUGGAGCUCCUUCGAUAGCGAUCAAAUGUUCGACUCAUGGAUAGCCAUAGUCAGGACUGGGAUAAUAGAAUGACAACAUGUCUUAAACAGUCGUCGUGUUACAUGAAUCGAAUGAGAAGAAUUAGAAAAAUGGAGCCAAUAUAUUAUGAACAUUCCAUUCAAAAAAAGGAGUAAAG